UGGGGAAUAUUGGACAAUGGGCGAAAGCCUGAUCCAGCCAUGCCGCGUGUGUGAAGAAGGUCUUCGGAUUGUAAAGCACUUUACGUUGGGAGGAAGGGCAGUAAGCGAAUACCUUGCUGUUUUGACGUUACCGACAGACUAAGUACCGGCUAACUCUGUGCCAGCAGCCGCGGUAAUACAGGGGGUGCAAGCGUUAAUCGGAAUUACUGGGCGUAAAGCGCGCGUAGGUGGUUCGUUAAGUUGAAUGUGAAAGCCCCGGGCUCAACCUGGGAACUGCAUCCAAAACUGGCGAGCUAGAGUAUGGCAGAGGGUGGUGGAAUUUCCGGUGUAGCGGUGAAAUGCGUAGAUAUAGGAAGGAACACCAGUGGCGAAGGCGACCACCUGGGCUCAUACUGACACUGAGGUGCGAAAGCGUGGGGAGCAAACAGG
rnacentral:rRNA from 1 species